GACGAACGCUGGCGGCGUGCUUAACACAUGCAAGUCGAACGGAAAGGCCCCUUUGGGGGUACUCGAGUGGCGAACGGGUGAGUAACACGUGAGUAACCUGCCCUUGACUUCGGGAUAACUUCAGGAAACUGGGGCUAAUACCGGAUAGGAAUCCUUGCUGCAUGGUGGGGGUUGGAAAGCUUCGGCGGUUUUGGAUGGACUCGCGGCUUAUCAGCUUGUUGGUGGGGUAGUGGCUUACCAAGGCUUUGACGGGUAGCCGGCCUGAGAGGGCGACCGGCCACAUUGGGACUGGGGUACGGCCCAGACUCCUACGGGAGGCAGCAGUGGGGAAUAUUGCACAAUGGGCGGAAGCCUGAUGCAGCAACGCCGCGGGCGGGAUGACGGCCUUCGGGUUAUAAACCGCUUUCAGCAGGGGCGAAGCUUGUGGUGACGGUACCUGCAGAAGAAGCACCGGCUAACUACGUG
rnacentral:rRNA from 1 species